rnacentral:antisense_RNA from 1 species
GUCCGGGUCGACAUCGUGCAGACGGCUCCA